AACAGGUUUGGGUCAGGCUCGCGACGUUAAACAAGCGCUACUAGGAGGCAACCUAGAUUCUCUCUCUUACCUUUGCAUUUAAAUUCUUAGAAUAGGUUGAAUUUUAUUUUUAGUGUGUAUGCUUGGCUUGAAUACUUUUUAUGAAGAUGUUUGACUGAAUUAUUUGCAUGAUGAGCCUAUUUGAUGUGGAUGAUAAUUGAUUUACAAUGCAUGAUGAUGUUCUGUGAAACAGAUGGGUGAUGACUUAUGAUUGUGGUUAUGAUGCUAGGUAGGAUGUAUGAAUGAAUAUUGGGUGAGAAAGCAUGUUGUGUGAGGUAUUGAGCUCCAGAGUUUUCAUUGUUGUAUGUAUUGUUCACAGGAAAGCAUGAAUGNUAUUGNCUUAAUCUGGAUGANUGAUUGAAUUGCAUGNGAAUGUCAUAUGAUCAAGNCCAUUUUUGAGAACCCUUCUCUAGCCAAAUUUUCACCCAAAAUGUUUGAAAAUAUUAUACCCUUUUUGAACCUUAACCUUAAACAGGAUGUGAACCCUUAUCUUGAUAUUCUUUACCUUGAGUUGGGAUGAGCUUAAUUGUAUGUGAUGAAAAGGUGCAAGUUUGGGGUUACAUGGGGGAAAUUGAAAAGAAAAAUUGAACAACAUUGAGCUCAAAAGUUAUGAGAAAAAAUACACGAGAAAAAGAAAAGAAAAGAAGAAAAAACAUGAAGAUGAGCUCAAUGCAAAAGAAAAGGAAAAAAGUUGGGAAUAAGUGAGAUUGGUGAGGAAGAGAGUUGUUCUUAAAUGUUGAAUACCAUGGUAGCUCUCUUAACUCAAGGAUUUUGCAUUCCAGAAAAACCAAUUCUUCUUGUUAGCCCAGCCUCAAUACAAGCCUUGGAAAAGUCCUUGUGAUGGCAUUUGCAUGUGAAGAUUUUGAUCGUUUGAGAUAAAUGGCAAUGUUGUUUCAUGUGCCUUGUGAAUAAUAGAGAGUUGGAGUGAUACCCUAAACACUU
rnacentral:lncRNA from 1 species